rnacentral:rRNA from 1 species
UACGAAGGGGGCUAGCGUUGCUCGGAAUCACUGGGCGUAAAGCGCACGUAGGCGGACUCUUAAGUCGGUGGUGAAAUCCUGGAGCUCAACUCCAGAACUGCCUCCGAUACUGAGAGUCUUCGAGUCCGGGAGAGGUGAGUGGAACUGCGAGUGUAGAGGUGAAAUUCGUAGAUAUUCACAAGAACACCAGUGGCGAAGGCGGCUCACUGGCCCGGUACUGACGCUGAGGUGCGAAAGCGUGGGGAGCAAACAGG